GAGCGAACAGGAUUAGAUACCCUGGUAGUCCACGCCGUAAACGAUGAGUGCUAAGUGUUAGGGGGUUUCCGCCCCUUAGUGCUGCAGCUAACGCAUUAAGCACUCCGCCUGGGGAGUACGGUCGCAAGACUGAAACUCAAAGGAAUUGACGGGGGCCCGCACAAGCGGUGGAGCAUGUGGUUUAAUUUGAAGCAACGCGAAGAACCUUACCAGGUCUUGACAUCCUCUGACAACCCUAGAGAUAGGGCUUUCCCUUCGGGGACAGAGUGACAGGUGGUGCAUGGUUGUCGUCAGCUCGUGUCGUGAGAUGUUGGGUUAAGUCCCGCAACGAGCGCAACCCUUGAUCUUAGUUGCCAGCAUUUAGUUGGGCACUCUAAGGUGACUGCCGGUGACAAACCGGAGGAAGGUGGGGAUGACGUCAAAUCAUCAUGCCCCUUAUGACCUGGGCUACACACGUGCUACAAUGGACAGAACAAAGGGCUGCAAGACCGCAAGGUUUAGCCAAUCCCAUAAAUCUGUUCUCAGUUCGGAUCGCAGUCUGCAACUCGACUGCGUGAAGCUGGAAUCGCUAGUAAUCGCGGAUCAGCAUGCCGCGGUGAAUACGUUCCCGGGCCUUGUACACACCGC
rnacentral:rRNA from 1 species